CCUACUGCAGAGACUGGGUGGAGAGAAAGAGAAAGAAAGAGAAAGGACUAAUGGUCAGAGUGGCUGUGAUCAUUUAUGUUUGUAUGUUUUUAUGGAGUGUAUUCCUGCAAGUGGAUGGCGAUGAGAAAGCUCCAGCUGUGUUGCCUCCAAAGAUGCCAGUGCCUUUGCCAUGGGAGUUGAUGUUUCUGUUACCAGAGAUUACUAAGCCCACAGAAGAAACCCCAGAGCCUGCCCCAGAGACUUUAUGCCCUCCUGGGAGUCCUGCAGCUGCCACUCCAUCUACAUCAGAGCCACAAUCUGAACAGAGACCCACAGUAAGUAACACAUAUCAGUACAGUGUGUUAUUUUACAAGGACAUGUCUUUAUAUUUCCAAGUGGGCCAGCCGUCAGUACAGCCCAAAGCUGACAUCAACAGGCCUUCACCUUCGCAAUUUCUGCCCUACGACCAGGAGGUCAAUAAGUGGAACUGCACCCACCAACAGAAAAUAUGGAUGAAGCUUGAGUUGGAGUCCAUGUGUCCUGCCCAGCGAACAACUCAUGAAAACCUUCUCCCUUUGGCGCUUACCUCCUCAGCCUGAGCUGGUCAACAGUAUCCAUGAUCUGCCAUCCCCAGGUAUUUUCAUCUUCAUCACUUUUUCAUGUGGAAGCCAGAGAAUGACUACUUGAUGGGUCAGCUGAAAAACAACCCUGCUGUUCACUGGUGACUGUUCUCAGCUCAACUCCAGCAGAGACAAUGGUUUCUUUGUUAGUGUCUCUCAGAAUAUCACCCUCUGUACAGCUCCUUCGCACAGAUCCUGUCAGCUUCAUUCUCUGUGGUGGACCAGGAAGACCUGCAGAGACCCCAGGAUGCUUAUGUCUUCUGUGGCAUCCAGCCUGCGAAUCCCACCAAGCAGUGCAUUCGUAAGCACUGCAGUGUGAAAAUUCCUCAGCCAGGGGAGCUUAUUCAGAGAGGAGGGUGGCAUACUGUACCGCCAUGAAGGAACAUUCCAACUUAAACAUGUGCCAGGUGAGCGUGCGGUAGUCCCCAUCUGGAUUACCAUCAGGCGAAGAGGGUGACGGGCACGCAGGAACUAUCAGCAUCUGAUGGACCUGAAGCAGCCAUGGUUGUGUUUCCCACCUGUUUUUGACCCUGCACUGAUGCGCUCCCUGAAUGUGGUGUCCAGAUGAGAACUCGGACAAGAGAAGUACCCCCUUCUUCUUCUGGCAGCUGAAGACACUGGUGAGAGGUUUGGCCUGGAGUACACGGAGACAGACUGUCGUCUGGUCCCUUUAGACUGGGACAAACAAACACAAGAAUGAUCCUGGCCACAGGUCACAAGUGCGCCUUCUCCAGGCAUCCUGUUUGAUCAAGGGUCAGAGCCAUGAAAUAUAUAUUUCAUUCUUUUUUAUUUGCCUAGAGCCUACAUCUCUAUUGUUGCAGAUCAAGCCUGUACAACCGGCACUGUACCAGGGAAUACUGGAGGGAGGGUCUUUGUGUUGGACCACAACCACUGGCCCACUCAAAUGAUGCUCUGCUUAAUAAACACCGUGGGCAGAAGGACAUGAUCAAGCUUGUGGAUCAGGAGUAAGGCACUCUUGUCCACAACUCCUGCAGAGAUGCAGGAGCAUGCUCCAACCAACUACAAAAUUACACAUUUCUCAAUACAUAUAACACAUCAGCAAUUUCACAAGGUUGCCCAGUGGUAUUUUAGAACCCCAAAGCAGACAAACACAAAAGGUACAAAAAUCCAUAAGUUUAAUAACAAAAAGAACACUUACCGUGAGUAUAAGCAGGGAAGAACAAGAACAAAAAGCAACUGUGACAUAAGGUCACAGCGAAAACACAAAAACAAAAUAAAAACAAAAGAAUGGGAAAAGCCCAAAAACAUCAUCUAAAGCACAAGGUAGCGAGUAGGGAUGAGCGAAUACUGUCACGUUCCGCAGGACAGGAGCUAGCGCCUCCUGUCGUGCGCUCUUAUUUUGGCGGGCUGUACUUCCUGCUGGGUGGAAGCGGCGGCCGCUUUACUCCUGAUUGCCGCGCAGCUGCGGACAAUUAUUAGUGGCUGUUAAAAGGCCAGCGCCGUCGUACGUGCGGCGCUGGUUCAUUGUUGAUGUUGCCAUUGUUCCUUGUCUCCGUAUCGGUCUGCUUCCGGAUUCCGCCGCAGCUCUUUCCUCGGCCGAGAGUAAGACCUCUUCCACCGCAGCUCUUCCUCCUCCGGCCAAGAGCAAACUCUCAUCCGCCACGGCUCCUCCUCCUCCGGCCGAGAGCAAGCCUUCGUCCUCUGCGGCUCCUCCUUCUCCUUCGGCCGAGAGCAAGCCUUCGUCCGCCGCAGCUCCUCCUCCUCCUCCUCCUCCUCCAGCCGAGAGCAAGCCGUCACCUAGACCCGGCCGCUGCACUCGCCUCCCACUCCGCUGCCGCAGACCCGGCCGCUUCACUCGCCUCCCACAGAGUUACGUCAUCUGUCACGUUCGCCGGCUGCAGCGUCGCCACCUAACACCUUCUCGCCAGGUGGGGGGUGGAUGCUGGUCCGGCUUAACUGUUCGUCCCGUGGUGGGGGUUGUGCAAGACUGGCGACCCUCUGCCGAUCCUCCCUCCACCCGCCCUGGACUUCUCGGACUUUUGGAACGUCUGGCAUCCGUUCCAUGGGUGGGGGCUACUGUCACGUUCCACAGGACAGGAGCAAGCGCCUCCUGUCGUGCGCUCUUAUUUUGGUGGGCUCUACUUCCUGCCGGACAGCUGUGGACAAUUAUUAAUGGCUGUUAAAAGGUCACUACGUAUGACAGCGCUGGUUCAUUGUUGAUGUUGUCAUUGUUCCUCGUCUCCGUAUCGGUGCUGUCACCUGAAAGGUACUUAACUGGACUACCUGAACCCUGUAUUCACAGAGCCUUUUGCUCUGUCGCCUUUUGUUUAUUCCUGCACCUGUGCAAUUAAAAUACUUUUAUUUGCACUCCACCACCUCUUCUCUACAUUCUGGGGGUCAAGCUUCCAACAGCUCAGCCCAACACUAACAAGUACACCACUAUCUGUAUCUACAUCUAUUCACCCAUCUAAAUGAUUUGUAUCGUUGUCUGUACUCGGAAUGGGCGGGGCAUAAACCGGAAGUGGGUGUAAUCUAGCCAGAAAUGGGUGGAGCUUAAAUCACUACAUUAUUUUAAGUCAGAAAUUGACAUGGAUUGAUCAGAAGUUGCUAUAUUUAUUGUUUAUUAUUCAGCUAUACGUGUACUGUGUAUGUGUGUUAUAAAGGAAACAGGAAAAUUGCAAACCAGUUGCAUAGUGCAGGUAGUCCAUUGUGUGGCCCGGAGGCCAUUUUCAGCUCAGAGCAAAAUUGUAUUAUUAGUGGCAUAUUCUUAAAAGUUCAAUUAAUUAUUCAUGAGUAUUUGUCUUACGCAUACUGUAUUUUAGGUCUGGGCAUAUUUGUGUUGCCCUGGUGCACCUUAGCUUUACUCAGGUACCAUUUUGUGAUGUCAAUGAUUCAAUGCAUCACGUCUUUUCCUGAAAGAGACAGUGAUGAAUGGAAGAAUGUGGGCCUUUUUUGUACACGCAUGCUAUUCUUAAGUCCUAAAUUCAAAGAGUGUUUCCGGCAAAAAAUACACUUAUAAAAGACUGUUUAGCUGGUUUCUCAUAGUUGUGUUGUCUAGUCAUUUUUCUGUGUGAGUGUGUAACUGCAGUAAUCCCUAUCCUCCAGGGAGUCACUUUGGGUAAGUAUAACAGAGAAUUAAUGGCGGCAACUAAUUUAUUAAAUUAAUUACGUUAAAAUUUUUAGCGUCAAUAACACAUGUGCAUCAUGUCAAGAGCCACGUCACUCUGUUAUGAUGGCUGACAGAGCUAAAAAUAGCAACCCCAUAUAGUCACACAGAGUCAUAGUUUUCUUAUUUUGCACAAUGUUUAUAUUUGGAAAGCCUUGUUGCAUUUGAGAAUGCAUCGGCAUCACAAUAAAAUUAGGAAUGAUGUGUUAAUUCCAUGACAGGAGAUAUGUGAUGUUUACACAUAUCGGUAUCGAUAUCGGUUGAUAACGGAAUUGGAAAUUGAGAGUUGGACAAUAUCAAUAUAUUGGAUAUCGGCAAAAAAAGCCAAUAUUAGACAUCUGUAGUUAUUAUAGCUUUUGUGAUCACAUCAGAUGUUAAUAUUAAUUGGGACAAUUGAAGCUUCAUAGAGAUUUUGACACACAGCAGUCCCCAACCCUUUAGCUUUUUUUAACCCACGGACCGGCUCGUUCUUUAUGGUAUUUGAGGUAAAUGGUGGUCACAGCAGAUACUGACAAGUUUUUGGACCAACCCCAAUACUUUUAAACUACACAUCUUGGAGUGGCCUUUUGCUGUGGCCAAUCUAAGCCACAGCUGUGCAAUAAUCAUGCUGUCUCAUCAGCAUCUUGAUAUGCCACACCUGUAAAGUGGAUAGAUUAUGCAUCAUAAAUGAUGAAUCCUCACUAACACAGAUUUAGUCAAAUUUGUGAUCAAGAUUUGAUAGCAAUAAACCUUUUGUGUUCAUAAAAGAAGUUUUAGAUCUUUGAUUUCAGCUCAUCAAAAAUUAUAGUCUCAGUCUGUGUGUGGGUAUUUAUUUAUUUAUUGCUUGAUUUUAUUUAACUCAUUGUCUAUGUAGCUUGUGCAGCACUUUGUUCAACCCUUGUUCCUUCUAAAUGUGCUAUAUACAGUAAAUAAAGUUUGACUUGGCUUGACUCGUGAAAAAUGUGAGCAGAAACAAAAGUAUUGUGUUUAUAUUUUUGUUGAGUGUACAUCAAUGUAUCUUCCUGACAGCCAACAUAUGAAUCUGUGUCGUCCUUAGGACAUAUUUAUUUAUUUUGUUAGAGUUACAGAUUUGGGGAAAUAGCCCUGUUCUGAGAGCAUUGCCUUCCAGCAAGGACGGAAUGGCACGUAGUAGCACGCCACCAAUCUCGUACUCCCGGAGCACCCCACAUAGGACACCGUGAGGGACAUGGUUGAAUGCCUUUUCCACAAAGCACAGGUAGACCGGUUGAGAAAACUCCCAAGUACUCUCCAGUACCCUUGCGAGGGUGUAGAGCUGGUCCAGUGUUCCGCGACCAGGACGAAAACCACAUUGCACCUCCUGUACGGUCGUACCCUUCUCUCCAGAACCCUGGGAGGCUGAGGAGUGUGAUCCCCUAUAGUUGAAACACAGCCUCCGGUCACCCUUCUUGAAAAGGGGGACCACCACCCUGGUCUACCAGUCCAGAGGUACUGUUCACGACUUCCACACAAUGUUGAAGAGACAUGUCAGUCAAGACAGUCCCUCAGCAUCUAGAGCCUUGAGGAAUUCAGGGCGAAACUCGUCCACCCCCGGAGCUUUGCCACUGGCGAGCGUUUUGACUACCCCAGAUACCUCAGCCACGUUGAUGGAACUGUCCACCGUCCGACUAUAUCCUCAGUCGAGGUCAGGAGGCCCCCGUCCCCACUGUAAACAGCGUGGACCGGGCACUGCUUACCCUGAGGUGCCAGACAGUUUGCCAGAACCUCUUCGAGGCCGACCGAAAGUCAUGCUCCAUGGCCUCACCUCAGCUGCUGCCAAAAAUAUGCAUGUUAGGUUAAUUGGCAACUUUAAAUUGUCCAUAGGUAUAAAUGUGAGUGUGAAUGGUUGUCUAUAUGUGCCCUGCGAUUGGUUGGCAACCAGUCCAGGUUGUGCCUUGCCUCUCGGCCAAAGCCAGCUGAGAUAGGCUCCAGCAUACCACCGCGACCCACGUGAGGAUUAAGCGGCAUAAAAAAAGAAUGAAUGUAUUUGUAUUAAUUAUGAUGAAAGGAGAUCUAUUUAUACGCAUUUUCGGGCCUUUGUAUAUACUUCUGGACUGCUUUUGAGCACACAAUAAGCCGCACAGAAAGCUUUCUAGAUCUUCCAGACUCUGUACCUCUUCCUGCAGUGUUUCCUUGGGUUUCCUGCCUCCCACCCAAACGAUCUGUGUAAUUUAUUCCACCCCCCGCUCUCCUCCAGGCACGCCUCCCGCCACAUUCUAGGAUGCUGCACAGACAACUGCUAUUCUCUGAUUACUUACACAAAAUAAACAGUUAUUACACUAAUAAAUUGUUACUUACAGCUUGCUCUUCUGGCUCUUCAACACGACCAAGUAACAUUGGAAAGGCGUUAGACUUCAGCAACAGUUUGGCAGAAAGUCCAGCUUCGUAUUGGCCCAUGUUCACAAAACAGUUCUGUGUGAAGUGCCUUUGGCAGAUGAGCAUAUUUUUCUCUUGCUGACCGGGAAUCAGCAACUCCAAACACUUCUGUCUAAUGUUUGCCUCUUUAGGCACACCCAAACAAACAUUUCCUGGGAGCCAUUGCUAACACGAUGAACAGAGCAAAGCAGAGCGUGGGGAGGGCAGGCCUACAGCUUGUGCCUGGGCAUGCCCAUUUAAGGAAGGGUUGCGUUAACAUCAGUGGAACUCGGUGUAAAAAAAAAAACAAAAAAAAACUCUAUAAAACAGCGUGCAGGGCCUUCCAAAACUGCUUUCAGGGCUCACUUCCAAAUGCGCAAACCUCUGGGGUGACUGACGCGUUGGCAUCGUUUAACACAAGAAUAUGACAUUGUAACAACAUUUAUAGGUCAGAAAAGAGGAAAAGCAUAAUAGGUUAAGAAUUGUGAGCACUGGGACCCCACAGGGUUGUGUGCUGAGUCUGCUCCUCAACACGCUCAUCACCUAUGAUUACGUGGCCUCCCAGAACAACACCAGUAUCAUUACAUUUGCGGAUGAUGCUACAGUCACUGGUGGGGUUGAAACAUCAUACAGAAGAGAGGUGGCGGACCUCAUGACUUGGUGUCAUGAUAACAAUCUCAAUCUCAAUACAGAUAAGACCAAAGAGAUGAUCAUCGACCCAAGAACAAGGGAAAAAGAGCUAAAGAUAAACCCCUGUUUAUUGAUUACACUGAGUUGGAGAGGGUGAAAACUUUCAAGUUUCUUGGCACAUACAUCAGCGAGGACCUCACCUGGUCUCACAACACCCAACAAAUUGUCAAGAAGUCCCAAAGGAGACUGUACUUCCUGAGAAGACUGAGGAAAUUUGGCAUGUCCACCAAAAUCCUUAGUUGCUUCUAUAGCUGCAGAUCAAAAGUGUCCUUACCGCCUCUAUCAUUGUUUGGUACGGUAACUGUACAACACGUGAUAGGAAGGCACUCCAGCGGGUGAUGAAGACCUCACAGCACAUUGUUGGGGCAGCCCUCCCCUCACUGCAAGACAUUCAUAAAUCUAGAGUCCUACAAAGAACAAACAACCUCAUCAAGGACAGCACACAUCCACAACACUCAUUAUUCACACUCCUACCAUCAGGCAGACGCUACAGGAGUUUGAAGUCCCGGACCACAAGACUGGCGAACAGCUUUUACCCACAGGCCAUCAGGCUUCUCAACGAAGCACUCGUACAGCAGCUCACCUUACCAACAAACUGGACUGGUCCGUCAACACCCACGCCCCGUACAAGAAGGGCCAGAGUCGCCUCCACCUGCUGAGGAGACUGAGGUCCUUUGGUGUGUGCAGGACUCUCUUAUGGACCUUCUAUGACUCUGUGGUGGCCUCAGCCAUCUUCUAUGCUGUGGGCUGCUGGAGAGGGGGCAGCACGGACAGGGACAGGAGCAGGAUAAAUAGACUGAUCAGGAGAGCGAGCUCUGUCCUGGACGGUCCUUUGGACUCCGUGGAGGAAGUGGGGGAGAGAAGGAUGUUGGCUAAGCUGACAUCCAUCAUGGACAACACCUCUCUCCCGCUACAUGACACUGUUGUUUCCCUGGGCAGCUCCUUCAGCAGCAGACUGUUACACCCACGGUGUAAGAAGGAGAGGUUCCGCAGGUCCUUCAUUCCGACCGCUAUCAGGCUCUACAACACCUGAACCAAUCUGUAUUCACUAUGUCACUAUGCAUUCUUUACUUGUAUAUCUUGCUUGCUGCUGUAACAGGUGAAUUUCCCUGCUGUGGGAUUAAUAAGGUACUACUACUACUACAUGCCGCUCGCAACACACGCACACACUUAUAACACUGAACAUAUUAUUGUUGCUCUUAAUUUAUUGGUAUUAAUGUUUCUUAUGUUCUUAUUCAUUUUCUUGUGUUUUCUUUCUUUUUUUGUGAGAAUGAACAAAAUGAGAAUUUCAUUGCAUAGUAUAACUACCUGUUUUACUGUGCAUAUGACAAUAAAACUCUUGAAUUGAAUCUUGAAUCUUGAAGGUCCCCUUUAAUCUAAAUGAAUCCACAGUGACCAUGCAAUUAUAAUUUAACAUUUUUUAAAUCAUAUCUUCUGUUGACAACAUAUGCAAGCUGUGUAAUAUUAUGUUAUAUCUGAAAAGAAGGUUUUUCAUCAAUAUGACAUUAUGAUUUAACAUUUAACAUCUAAGUAAAGUUUGAAUAUUAGUUGUUUUUUUAAUGAUGUCAAUAUGAGUGAUAGUAAUAAUAACGAUAGCCAGUUUAAAUGUCAAAACUUGUAUUCUGGACUGUUGAAAGUGAACACGUUGCCAUGCUAAGGAGCACACUGAAACAUUCAUCAGUCGGCUUUCGCAGAUGGGCAGCCAUGUUGCAAAAAAUGAAUGAAUAAGUAUUUGUUUGAAAGCAUUUUGAUUUAGCUGCUCAUUGAUUUCUCACAAAAUGUCAUCAUCCAGUGUCAUGUUAACGAACUGCAGUGAAGCAAGUAAAUUCAUUUCCACUGCACACAAUACCGAAGCGAACGUUCCACACUUAUACUGUAUAUACAGGUAUAUGGGUACACUGUGUCUAUGUGAUAAUUAGAAAAUGUAUUUAUUAUUCACAAGUGCAAUGCAAAUAACACAUGCAUUUGCAUCUCUACUUGUAUUCCAGCUAGUGAGCCAGCAUCACAUCAGAUUCACUGUGGUUAAGUGAUGCAAGGCUCCACCUAUACAUUAAUCUCUGCAUAUGUUAUGGAUCUGUCACUCUAGUUGAGAGAUUGGGUCUAAAACGGCAGGCUUACCCCUUUGAAAGCCUCAGCACUUCAAUCAAACCCUUGUCAGUGAGUAAGUGGGCUUGUAUGUGAGUAUGUCUCUGUGUAUGGGUCUGUGUGUUUGGAACAUAAAGAAAGAUAGAAUGUGUGUGUGGGUGUCUGUAAUGAGGUGUAAGUAAGUGUCUUUCAAGAGACUCCUAACAGUAGAGUGUGCACUCCAUAUAUCUAAGAACUGGUAAAGCUUUGAAGAUGAGUCUUUUUAACUUUUCCCAAUGAGGGCAUGUACUGUAUGUACACAAAAAACUAUUACAUUCACUCCAUAGUAGGUGAGCUGGAAUCAAAGCAGCGCAUAUACACAAAGAAAUAACAACUGAAAGUUUUGAAUGUCUGUUUUUAACUGGGGUUUUAGCUAUGAGCCGCAUUCUCUAUUGGGGUCUCCAUGCAAUGUGUGAGCAAAUAAAAGUCAAUAGCGCAAAAUAGGUAAAUAAAAGAAAAAACUACCAUAUAAGUAGCACUUUUUUUCAUAGUUUGGCUGGUCCCAUUACUUAGGCUGUAUCCCAGUUGAACCCCUUAGCCGAGUGGUUCCCAAACUUUUACAGUCGCGUACCCCUUCAGACAUUUGACCUGAGGCGAUGUACACCCUACUCCUGCAUACUUAAAAACAUAAACCUUUUCAGCUUAAUUAACUUUAAAUAUUGAACAUAAUUAAUUGAUCAAUUAA